AGAGGGUUAGUCCAAAACAAGACCUCUGAUUUCGGCUCAGAAAACCAUGGUUAAAACCCAUGACCCUCUU
rnacentral:tRNA from 1 species